GAAAUUAUCAUUCUUCCUUACCAUCUCCACCUAUUCUCUGUGGUGCACCUCUCAGAUCUCCGACUUUGGGCACCACUGUGAAGUCUACCAGUGCAUUUGAUCCAAAUACGUAUCGUCUUUGAGCUGCUUCCAGACAUCUGUUGAGCAAUGCAGGGAUAUUAAGGCAGCUGCUGUGAAAAGCCCGGGACUCCUCUGAAAGGAAACUUAGACUUCGGGACUUUACUAACCUCUCUUAGGACUAACCUAAGCCCAAGCUGCUCAGCAGCUGUCCAGGUUAGCUUUUACUUGACACAACCUGGAACUACUUUGGAAGAAAAUCUCAACUGAGGAAGUUCCUAUGUCUCACUGACCUUUAGGGAUGUCUAUGGGAGAGUGUCUUGAUUUUUGAUUGAUGUAAGAGGUUUCACCCCCCACUGUGGGUGGUACCAUUCCCUAUGUGGGUGAUCCUGGACUAUGUGAAGAAACUAGAUGAGCAUGAGCUUGCCCAACAGCAAGCUGUGUCCUCCAUACUUCCUACUGUGCUUCUUCGGGUGUGAAGUGAGUUCUCUGGUAGAGAUCAUACUAUGUGGGGUAAUAAGCAGGCUUGCCUAUGAGUUCCCACAGAAAUGACUCAAAGACGGCUGCAUCAUCAAAGCCCAUCCCUGCAUGAGUGACAUCUCACAGAAGCUGUGAAAUCUGGAGCUCACUGCACAGCAGCUCAAUAGAAUGGACAUUGUUCUUUCUAAGUGACUUAGCUGUUCUAAGCCUCUUCUAGGCAGCUGGUCUGGUCCCAGAAUCUUCUCUGCAGCUUGGCUUCUCUGAGAGGUGUUGGGAUAUUUGUACACUGUGUGAAGAUAUAUUGCUGUAGAUUGAUUUAAUAAAGAGCUAAGUGUCGAAGGCAAGAGGUAAAGCAGGACUUCCAGGCAGGGAAAGAAGAAGUAAGAGAUGAAGCUAGGCAUGAGAGAGACAAGGAACAAGUGGGACACACAGAAUGGGAUAGAGGUAAAAGCCACGUGGUAGAAUGUAGAUUAAUAAAAAUAUGGGUUAAUUUACAUUAUGACAGUUAAAAAUAAGCCUAAGCUCUGUGCCAGUGCUGAGGUAUCACUUUGAUAGCCUGUUGUUAUAUUCUUAGAGAAUCUGAAUCACCUGCACAUCCCUCAGAAAGUCACACUGGCUCAUCAUAUCAAUGACAUCGCGAUGACAAGACAGGAAUAGGUGAUGUCACAGAGCAUGUGACAAACAUACCAGAUGAAGUUCACACAGCAGCAAGAACUCCAAAAGGAUGCUCAAGCAUCAUCAGAACCAAGGAUGGUAAUGCAUAUGUAAGGCCAAUGCUCGGGAGACUGGGGCAGGCAGAUGCAGGUAAGGCCAUCCUGGACUGGUAUGAGACCCUAUGUAAAAUAUAUUUCUUAUGUAUUUAUGUAAUGUAUAAUAUAAUAUAUAUUGCAAACCAGUUGAAACAUGAUAAGCCUAACUGUAAUUGCUUCUUGAUUUCAGGCUUGUCCAACCUUUUGACAUAGGGAAAUGAUGCUACUAUCUAAAGUUCACCCUCAAGGAUCGUAUGAAUCAAGUUAUAAAACCUAUUGCAAAAAAACAAACUCCUAAUUCUUUAGGUGAACUUUUGACUUUGUGUUGAACUGUAUUGUUUAUCAUCAGCUUGCACAUUAAAAACAUUGUUAAAAUGGUUACAAAUGCUCAGAUCUUCUAAAAUUAAUUAGCCAACAGUUUAUAAAAUAAGGCCUUAGAAGCAUUUCACCAAUAUUUUAUCACUCUUAUUAAAUGUCUUACCAAGGGCUGUAACUAGCCUCUAGGUGCCUCUGCAACAAUUUGAGAAAAGCUUCCAGUCUCCAUGGUGCCCUUCACAACCACUCAACCCAAAAACCACUUAGCUGAUCACCUUGCCUGUGAGCUCAACUAUGGAGGCCAAGAGCUCUGAAGGCCAGAUCCCACAUUCCCCGCCUCAAAGCUGUGACUCUUUCUUCUUCAUGCAUGGUCCCUGUCUGAGACAUAUUCUCCUGAUCCCUCCUCUUCUCCUUCGUAUUCUUCAUGGUUCCUUUAUGCUUGCCUGCACCUUUAGUCCUUAGCCUCCAGAUAGAUUCAUGUUGCCUUAAAAAAACAAAUGAUUUCAAGCUAGCCUCUAGACAUUGGAGUCUAAAGCCAAACAUCUGGGGUAAAUGUUGUGCAUCUGUGUUUCUGCUUCUCUUCUCGGCUCCUGGCCUUCUGCACAGCUGUUCCGUUCAAACACGUUCAUCGAAGUCACUGUAGACUUUCUGUUGCUGCCGUUGUAACUCUGACUAAACCAUCUUUCUUUGAACAUUCCUCUCCAGGAGUGUCUCAGAGAUGUCUGCCUCUCCUGCUUCUCUUUCUUGGCUUAUUGUCCUACUUUUAUUAUUAUUAUUAUUGUAUUUUUUAAAUAGUAGGCAGCACAGACUCACUUCUUUCUAAGCUUUAAUGGUGGGAUCUGUCAUAGAGCAUAACACUGCUGAAAUCAUAUACACGCUCAGCAUAUUGGUAGAGAGUAUUGAUAGCCAGCAUAUUGGCAGAAAUCCUAUUUCAUUAAGGAAAAAUGAUAUCUAAAUAAUGGGUUAGAUAUUGUAAUGAAAUUGUAACACAUAUUGUUUUGGGAUAAGGUUUAUUUAUUUUAUGUUUAUGAAUAUUUUGUCUGCAUGUAUGUAAGAGCAUCCUGUGUGUGCAGGGCCUUGGGAGGCCAGAAGAGAGUAUCUCCUGGAGCUGGAGUUAGAGAUGAGUGUGAGCAACCAUGUUGGGGCUGUGAAUGUAACCCAGGUCCUCUGCAAGAGCAGCAAGUGUUCUUAUUUGCUGAACCAUCUCUCCAUCCACACUGGAAACACUUUGUAAAGGGUCAAGCAAAACUCACCGUGGAAUAUAUUUAAUGGAUAAAUAACGGCUGAAAAACACCAGAGACAAAUAUAAAUGUGCACCUGUGUGUUACUAAUGCAAUGAACAAGAACCAACAUGUGGGAUGGAAUCAGAAAAACAACCUCUUUUUCUCUUCCAUCACCAACUUAAAAGCAUUGGAUGCAUCUGGUCCUUCCUUUGUUUUCUGUGGAAACCUGAGUUUUCUUUUUACUCCUCAUAAUAAAAGUCACUUUAAGGGUCUCUCUUGACUUAAAAGGGGGAGGAGAUAUUUAAUGACUAUUGCUUUUUGAAUCAUAUAAUAAAUGUCCACCUGCU